rnacentral:rRNA from 1 species
UUACGGGAGGCAGCAGUAAGGAAUAUUGGACAAUGGAGGGAACUCUGAUCCAGCCAUGCCGCGUGAAGGAUGAAGGCGCUCAGCGUUGUAAACUUCUUUUGGAUGGGAACAAUAACUUCUACGUGUAGGAGCUUGAGGGUACCAUCAGAAUAAGCACCGGCUAACUCCGUGCCAGCAGCCGCGGUAAUACGGAGGGUGCAAGCGUUAUCCGGAAUCACUGGGUUUAAAGGGUGCGUAGGCGGUGGCGUAAGUCAGUUGUGAAAUUCCCCGGCUUAACCGGCGGGACUGCGAUUGAUACUGCGUCACUUGAAUCAGGAUGAGGUAGGCGGAAUGUGACAUGUAGCGGUGAAAUGCUUAGAUAUGUCAUAGAACACCGAUUGCGAAGGCAGCUUGCUGGACCUGUAUUGACGCUGAGGCACGAAAGCGUGGGGAGCAAACAGGAUUAGAUACCCCGGU